rnacentral:lncRNA from 1 species
GCUAGAUGAACUUGGGUGGCUCCUUACAUCUCUUAGCAAGACAGAGAAGGUGAUCAUUAACUUUGAUCAACUGGAGGUCAAAUUCUAGUCAUUCAUUAAAUAAAUAUGGAGGGCCAAUGUUCUUCUCUCCCCUCAUUCACAGGAGGACCCACCACCCCUGACCUCUUAGCUCAUUACAGAGUUGUCACAUAAAUGGGCAAGGGUCUUACAGCUUGUUGCAUCUGCUCCUUGAAUAAGCCGUGAUGUUACAACGGCACCAGCAUCAUCCCUAGUGCUGUUGACACUGCGUAGAGAAGAAUGCUCACUGCAUGCCAGGUGCUGCUCCUGUCAUACUCACAACACUCUAUGAGGGUGGUGAAGGCUAUGUGUCCCCCCACCAGUCCUCAGGAGAACCCCCUCCCUGACAGGAAAUCAGGGCCUCUGGCCACAGACGGGAGCUCUGAACUGUAGCAGCUUAGCCCAGCACAACCCAUCACUUCUCUCCUCUUGCUCCACACACUCCAGCUGCACAAGGACUUGUCCUAAUAUUGAUUUCUGGGGACAGAUAAAGUCCCAGAGAAUGAAGUCACAACUUCUUCUUGUAAAGUCUGAUAGAAAUAGAGAAUGAAAGAUGGAUGAUUUUAGAAUUUUUGCUUGCAUGAAAAACAAGGUAUUUUUUUGUUUCCUGUAUUAAUAACUCCCUGGAAAAUUGGGACAAAUGACAAACUGUCAUUCGUGGACCUCAAGCUGUUAUUAAAUAUUCUGCUGCCAUUGUGGGGUGGGGACUGUAGGAACUUGUUCUUUAUAUCCUCCUUUGUUCCAGGACCCUCUGUCCCCACAGAGGUUCCCGACAGAGCCUCUGUCAUCUAUUUCGUUCUACUCCCCCCUGGAGCCAUGGUUCUGGUGAAGGUGACGUGCUCACCCCAAGGCAUUCACCUCAGGGCUGGCCUGCCUUCCAUCCGUCAGGCUCCUGUGAAUCAGUGCCCAGGUCUUUCCUGUUUGCUGGGCACUCCCUAUGGGAAUGAUCGAGGAGAGGCAGCCCAGCUCUUCUGCCCUCCCACCAGGACUACAGCUGACCCUGAGGGUGAGGCACUGAAGGCUUUCCACUGGAGUCCAGACCCAAGAGGCCAUCUGCAGAAAGAGAAGCCCUGGCUCUAGGUGGACAUUGCUGGGAGAGGCCCCAGCAAUGAGUGUCUGCCUGACACUCAUGUCUUCCUUACCCACUCUCCAGCUACCAUUAAAUAAUCUGGGCCCAGAAAUCUCUCCCCAAACCUCCCAGACAGAACCCUUGCUCCUGCCUCUGCGUUCUUCACAGUUUGUGCAUCUCUCUACUCUCGGCCUGUGGCCACGCUGGAUUAGAAUAAAUAAUGAUGGCAGGUCUCAUGAACACCAAAUCCAUGCCAUGCACCAGGCAGCGUGCUAAGUGGUGCUUGUGCAGCCCCUCCUUCACUUCUCUCCAUGGCUGCAGCAGGUGGGUACUGCCAUUAGUCCCAUUUUACAGUCGAGGAAAAGGCCCAGAGAAGCAGAGUGAUGCAACCAACACCACACAGCUGGGAAGUACCAGAACUGAGAUGCCACCCUUGGUCUUUCUGGGAGCUCACAGGCACCACUCUCCACCAAAAAGGGGUCCUUAAGAGAGGAGCACUGCUAUACCAAGUGGGCGGCAACUCACAAUGUGUGAAAACCUCAAUGAGUCAGAAGGAUUCGGUGGAUAAAUUCAAUCAGCAUGAAGCAGAACUGAGCCCUGAUCUGCUCAAGGCUGCCUGCCCCCCGCUCCACGCCAGCUUGUCCCCAUCACUCCUCACCUCGGUGGGUUUUGUGGUGGCUGGUUUUUCCCUCCCAUUAAAUGAGAAAUGUUGUUUGAAUAACCAAUGGUGAGGGAGGGUGUGCACACUCUGAUGCAGAAAUAGAAACCUUUAGGAAGAUGCAAUUUGAAGGAUAUUGGAAACCAGAGAAUGGAACAUCAGUCUAUAAAAUUCAACACGGCCAAUAAAGCUGGAGCAACUGGUCAAGUGUUUUAGUGUGCACGGUUGCAGAGGAACUGGCGGCACGUGGCUGGGCAGUGCUUCCAGAAUGGGGACGUUUUUCCUAGGCUCAUUUUGGCCUCAUUUCCAUAAUGUGUCUCAUGAUCUCUGAAGCACCUUGGCAUUAGCAUCAUAAGCACAGCUGUGAAAGUGUCCAAGACUAUUGUCAUCACCCGGUAAAGGCACAUUUCCCAAGCCCUGCCCUGCCUAGCACUCUAUGCUGCCACGACUGCUGAGUGGAGUGGCCCAUUAGGUGGGUGCAGGUGACACAGAUAGAUGUAACAGAGGCCAACACACCUUUGCUCCACCACCUCAGCCAUGAAUCCGCCUCCGCUCAGGUGUGUCAGCAUCAUACCAUCCUCAGUGGGGUUCUGUGAGGGUGAGGCAGGAGCUCUGCCCCUUCCCACUUGGUGCCCAGGCCUUUACAGCCUGGACUGCUCUCACGCCUUUGUCUUCUAGUGUUGCAGGCACUUGGCAGGUGUCUAGUCCAAGCCUCCUCCUCUCCUCCCUGUGCAACCUAAAGCACAUUCCUGACCUCACAUAACUCCAAGUGGGCUCUCGUAGCUCAGGCUAUGUGGGCCUGUUCCCAUCUGCCUGCAAGCUGCUUCUGUCUUCUACACACUUCCUAAUUCAUGUAUACCCAUUUUGUACACAAAUAUUUGUAUACAAUAAAUACUUCCACAGGCCAUGGCAUGUACUAUUUACCAGGGCCACAUCAAUCAACCCAGGAUGUGCAUUCUGACCCUUGUAUCUUCAAGCAUCUGGGAGCCAUUGAGCAUUUUCUUGGUGCAGGGCACAGUGCUAGGUGCUAAUACAUAAGCGCAUAAGACAGCCAUAGCCGCUGCCCUAAUGGUUCUUACCGUCUAGUGGGAGCUGGUACUUCCCUUCUUUUCUGACUCAAUCUCAGCCUAAAGCAUGAAUCCUUGGCCCCAGCUCCACAGACAUGUUCUGAUGUCCAUGCAGGGGCUUCCUUGUCUUGCUCAGAGGUGUUCUGGACAGGCAAGACAUGGGAUGCCUUCCCAUCAACAACUGCC